rnacentral:tmRNA from 1 species
GGGGAUGACAGGCUUCGACGGGAGAGGCUGGCCCCGGAAUGCGUGCCGAGAGUGUGCCGAGCUCGUAAAAUCAGCACAAACAAUCAAGUGCCAAUCGCACUUCCUACGCCGCGAUGCCCCUCGCUGCCUAAUCGCAGUAGAGAGUAAACGGCCCAUCUCCUGAGUGAGAUGGCGUCUGCCGCUCCCGUUCUCCGCCCGGUGAGCGAGCGGGCGUAAUAAAGGCAGAGUGCCGCGCCGCCAUGUCACUAACGGUGCGAAAGAGGGUCUUCGGACCCGGGUGAAUGGCCGCAGGUGAGUUUUGCUGGUUGAGUUCCCUGCGGCGACAAUCUCAACCGGCUACGCAUGUAGAUUUCCGUGGGACGAAUCUUUCGGACGCGGGUUCGAUUCCCGCCAUCUCCACUC